CAGAGUCAGGAUUGGAAUCCAAGCUGCUUUCUGAGCCCAGGCUCACCGGGUCAUGGAGAAGACAGCAUGCACACCUGCAGAGAAGAGGUGCAGCCCAGGGCGGCUGAGUGAGGACUGGUGGGAAGAGCAUCUCAGGAAUCUGGCGGUGGGAGUGACCCCCAAGCCGUGGGGCAGGUGGCAAAGGAGGAGAGGACCUUUCAGGACUGUGAUGACUUUGUGGCAUUGCACCGUGGAUGGAUGUCCUGUGGUUUCCCAGUUGGGGCUGCUCUGAACGGUGCCGCUUUGAGGGCCCUCAUCCCUGUGCUCUCACAUCCUGCAGCAGCCAGCUUUUAAGGAUGCUUGGAGGCCGGGCUGGAUCCCCUCAUUACCUCAGGACAGACAUUCGUCUCUUCGACACCCACGCUGUGCCUCUUAUGAACCGUAUCCCCGGGGUUAUCAUUUAAUCCAGAGGACGUUAUGGACCGGGUGCUUCUCCCCACGGAGCACAAGGAGAGCUCAUC